CUCGGGGCUUGGCGAGCCACCCGCAAAGCUAGGUGAAGGCUAAGGAGGCUGACUGAUGAGUGGGAUUCCUCCAGCACCUACUCCAUUCCGGGGGCGGAUGCUGCGCACAUUCGUGGCUAAAACAAGAAAUAACCGCGCAGAUCCAGGCCCAGGAAAGCAGCAAAGCCAGAGAAGCAACGCCCCUGUUGACCUCAGGACCAACCGCAUUGGAUAAUGACCCACUGGAGCCUGUUAGGUCCCCGAAGGAGGAAUGCAGGAGGCCAGAAAGCCAGACACAAGUACAGAGGUUGCUGAACCCAGGUCCAGUAUGACCCCACUCGUCUAGCAAGCACUCGUCUAGUUCCUGCCACCCACGACAGAUUGUACAACAGAUUAAUGUUCCUCCCUCUCUCUCUCUGUCUAAAAUAAAGCAAUAAAAUAGA